UAUUUUUAUUUAUGUAAUGUGUUAACUGAAUAAAAUAGUGCUUAUUCCUAAAGUAUCAAUUUAUAGUAUAUCCACAAUUACAAAUAUAUAUACAUUUUUUUGUUAAUAAAAAAAAAAAAAAAAAAAAUGAUUAGAAAAAGAAAGUCAAAAACAGCAAAUGAAGAAUAUGAUGAAACUGGAGAAAAGGAAUUAAAUGAAGGGGGUGUUACUUUAAAUAAGGAUUAUAGUAAUUUGAGAAAAAGUAUUGAUUCCAAAAAUUUUGACGAAUUAGAAAAGGGUAAAUAUGACGAUAGUACUCUUUAUGAUAAAGACUCAAUGGGUAAUACAUCUUUUGUAAUGCGUAAUAAAAACAGAUCAAAACAUUUUAAAGAUAAAAAACGAGAUAGUAUACGUCAAUCUAUUGAUAUAUUAAAUGAUAAGUAUAGUAAAGAAUCGAAACAAUUGGUAGAAAAGUUUAAAUUUAUAAAAUUUUCUGAGAUUUUUAAAAAUCCUUUUAGUAAAUCAUUUAGCACGGAUGAAAAAAUUGUUCGAAUUUUUUAUCUGUUGGGUUUUACUUUUUUACCAUAUAUAGGAUGGACUAUAGGUAAAAAAAAAAAAAAAAAAAAAAAAAAAAAAAAAAAAAUAAUAAUAAUAAUAAUAAUAAUAAU
rnacentral:lncRNA from 1 species